rnacentral:rRNA from 1 species
CCGCUCUGGAAGGACAAGCCGCAUGACCUCGGCGACGGUACUUCUUCUACUUCUCCGCCCUGGAAGGACCUGCCGCAUGAGCUCGCCGGCGUGGUCCUCUCACGUCCCGCGUCCCACGAUGAUCGCCUCAGCUUUUGCGCCGUUUGCCUGGACUGGCGCCUGGCCGCAAAGCACCAGCGUCUGCUGCUGCCGCCAGCCGUGCCGUGCAUCAACCUUGGCAAAGGCGAGUACCAGAGCCUUAUCGAUGGCAAGGUGCGCCGGUUCCCCAUCCCCAGCGAUUGUCGCGCCGACGCUUCAUUCGGCAGCUUGCUCCUAUUUCAGCAUGGGCCAUCCUCGAGCUGCUUCCUCCAAGACCCAUUCUCUGGAACCACGCCGGCCAUAGAGCUACCCUGCUACUACAACUGGAUGCCCCUUCGUGCUAAUGGCGUCGUCGGCACCUUCAAGCCCCACCACGGGUGUGGCGCGCCACACAACAACAUUCAAAAGAUUGUCCUCUUGUCACCUAAACUCGUCAUUGCUGUGUUCCAAGACUGUCCAUUCCCCAACUAUUCCAAAUUUGGAGGUUUCUGCCUGGGCACGCCACUUCCGCUUUUGUGGUCAGAAGCAGCUGACACAUUCGCUAUUCAGCACCAUGGCGGGACCUUUUGUUACGAGGACGUAGCCUUCCAUGAUGGCAAGAUCUUUGCUGUCUGUAGGAUGGGGAAUCUGUUCACCCAUGAGUUUGUCGGAUAUUCAUUGUCCAAAAGUCGUGUGGAGCAUGUCAUUAAGGAACAACCCAAUGCGGUCUACAUGGACAUGAAAUGCUACCUAGUCACAUCAGCCGACAAGAAAAAGUUACUGAUGGUACGGUGGAGCAUUUGUGAUGUGAUGGACGAGCUCAAGCUUGAUCACCACACGAUGGAUCUGCAUGUAUUCGAGGCAGAGUUGGAUAAGGGCCGGUGGUCUGAGGUAAAAGACUUGGGCGACCAAGUCCUCUUUGUUGGACAGACUGGCUCGAGAGCGUUUGCGGUCACAGGUUCCUCUCAGCACUAUCUCCAGAUUUUUCAUCGAGGGAACCUUGUGUUUCUUUCGGGCGAUGAUUGGUCCCGCAAAUGGGAAUGUAAGCAACAUUCUGUGCAGUGCAAGUGCUUCAAUUGCCGAAAGUUCAAUCAUGGCAUUCCUGUCUAUUGUGUGUUCGACAUAAUGGGC